AACGAACGCUGGCGGCAUGCCUAACACAUGCAAGUCGAACGAGACCUUCGGGUCUAGUGGCGCACGGGUGCGUAACGCGUGGGAACCUGCCCUUAGGUUCGGAAUAACUCCCCGAAAGGGGUGCUAAUACCGGAUAAUGUCUUCGGACCAAAGAUUUAUCGCCUUUGGAUGGGCCCGCGUUGGAUUAGCUAGUUGGUAGGGUAAAAGCCUACCAAGGCGACGAUCCAUAGCUGGUCUGAGAGGAUGAUCAGCCACACUGGGACUGAGACACGGCCCAGACUCCUACGGGAGGCAGCAGUGGGGAAUAUUGGAAAAUGGGCGAAAGCCUGAUCCAGCAAUGCCGGGUGAGUGAUGAAGGCCUUAGGGUUGUAAAGCCCUUUAACACGGGAUGAUAAUGACAGUACCGGGAGAAUAAGCUCCGGCUAACUUCGUG
rnacentral:rRNA from 1 species